rnacentral:rRNA from 1 species
CCUACGGGUGGCAGCAGUGAGGAAUAUUGGUCAAUGGACGAGAGUCUGAACCAGCCAAGUAGCGUGAAGGAUGACUGCCCUAUGGGUUGUAAACUUCUUUUAUAUGGGAAUAAAAUGUUCCACGUGUGGGAUUUUGUAUGUACCAUAUGAAUAAGGAUCGGCUAACUCCGUGCCAGCAGCCGCGGUAAUACGGAGGAUCCGAGCGUUAUCCGGAUUUAUUGGGUUUAAAGGGAGCGUAGGUGGAUUGUUAAGUCAGUUGUGAAAGUUUGCGGCUCAACCGUAAGAUUGCAGUUGAAACUGGCAGUCUUGAGUACAGUAGAGGUGGGCGGAAUUCGUGGUGUAGCGGUGAAAUGCUUAGAUAUCACGAAGAACUCCGAUUGCGAAGGCAGUUCACUGGACUGCAACUGACACUGAGGCUCGAAAGUGUGGGUAUCAAACAGGAUUAGAUACCCGAGUAGUC